rnacentral:rRNA from 1 species
GACGAACGCUGGCGGCGUGCUUAACACAUGCAAGUCGAACGGAAAGGCCUCUUUCGGGGGGUACUCGAGUGGCGAACGGGUGAGUAACACGUGAGUAACCUGCCCUUGACUUUGGGAUAACUUAAGGAAACUGGGGCUAAUACCGGAUAGGAGCUCCUGCUGCAUGGUGGGGGUUGGAAAGUUUCGGCGGUUGGGGAUGGACUCGCGGCUUAUCAGCUUGUUGGUGGGGUAGUGGCUUACCAAGGCUUUGACGGGUAGCCGGCCUGAGAGGGUGACCGGCCACAUUGGGACUGAGAUACGGCCCAGACUCCUACGGGAGGCAGCAGUGGGGAAUAUUGCACAAUGGGUGGAAGCCUGAUGCAGCAACGCCGUGUGCGGGAGGACGGCCUUCGGGUUGUAAACCGCUUUCGCUCAUGACGAAGCUUUGUGUGACGGUAGUGGGUAAAGAAGCACCGGCUAACUACGUG